rnacentral:rRNA from 1 species
GAUGAACGCUGGCGGCGUGCCUAAUACAUGCAAGUCGAGCGAACAGACGAGGAGCUUGCUCCUCUGACGUUAGCGGCGGACGGGUGAGUAACACGUGGAUAACCUACCUAUAAGACUUGGAUAACUUCGGGAAACCGGAGCUAAUACCGGAUAAUAUAUUGAACCGCAUGGUUCAAUAGUGAAAGACGGUUUUGCUGUCACUUAUAGAUGGAUCCGCGCCGCAUUAGCUAGUUGGUAAGGUAACGGCUUACCAAGGCAACGAUGCGUAGCCGACCUGAGAGGGUGAUCGGCCACACUGGAACUGAGACACGGUCCAGACUCCUAAGGGAGGCAGCAGUAGGGAAUCUUCCGCAAUGGGCGAAAGCCUGACGGAGCAACGCCGCGUGAGUGAUGAAGGUCUUCGGAUCGUAAAACUCUGUUAUUAGGGAAGAACAAAUGUGUAAGUAACUAUGCACGUCUUGACGGUACCUAAUCAGAAAGCCACGGCUAACUACGUG